rnacentral:rRNA from 1 species
AGAACGAACGCUGGCGGCACGCCUAACACAUGCAAGUCGAGCGCCCAGCAAUGGGAGCGGCGGACGGGUGAGUAACACGUGGGAACAUGCCUUUCGGUACGGAACAACUGCGGGAAACUGCAGCUAAUGCCGUAUACGCCCUUACGGGGAAAGAUUUAUCGCCGAAAGAUUGGCCCGCGUCUGAUUAGCUAGUUGGUGAGGUAACGGCUCACCAAGGCUUCGAUCAGUAGCUGGUUUGAGAGAACGACCAGCCACAUUGGGACUGAGACACGGCCCAAACUCCUACGGGAGGCAGCAGUGGGGAAUCUUGGACAAUGGGGGAACCCUGAUCCAGCGAUGCCGCGUGAGUGAUGAAGGCCUUCGGGUUGUAAAACUCUUUCGGACGGGACGAUAAUGACGGUACCCGUAGAAGAAGCUCCGGCUAACGUUCGCGCCAGCAGCCGC